rnacentral:lncRNA from 1 species
GCAAACUGCUCCCGCAUCUGUGAGAUGAAAGACUUCCUCUUGUCUUAUUGACCAGAAUUAGGACACACGGCCAGUCCUAGCUGCGAAGAAAGCUUGGAAAUUGGAGGGUAAGAUUAUUAUAAGCACUUGGACCAGUCAUGAUCCAUGACCAGGAACUGGGCCCACUGCCACCCACACAAAGUCAUGGUUCCAUCAGCAAGAGAGAAGGGGGAAAUUAGUCAACAAAAGAUGCAGGGCUUACUUGACUAUAACCUACAGAAGAUGGUUUCUCCGGUGGCACACUACUGCCUUCUUUCCACCCUUCAACUGCCGAAAAAGAAAGCACCAUUGGAAGACGUUGGGUUUAAUUCAUUGUUGUUUUUUAUGCUGAAUACUCACUAAAGC